AAUUAAAUGCGGUGGUAUGAUCGUAAUAUACAAAGAUUCACAUAGAAACUGUGUAGAAAGAGACAUAAUCAUCAAUUGCAAAACCCCAGUUUAUGUAACUUAAUUGCGAGAUUUGGAAACUGAAUACAAUCUUCAGAGCGAAAUCAAGCCCUAAAUUCUAUCAUCUACUUCAUCCGAAUAAACACACAUUAUUCUCGAUCUUGAUUCUACACAAAAAACACAAGUCGAUCAUGACGAUAACAAAACUCGGAGGGACAAAAGAAGCAAAUCAAACAAUGAAAAUCUACAAGCAUAGAAGAUGAAUCCAGAUUCGAUCAAACAUUUCUCUGUUCAUAGAUAGCAUUUUGAUAAUUUCCUAAAGUUAGGGUUUUGAUAACGUGCGUAUGUGUGUUUAUAACAUGCGUUUUUUCAUAAAUAGCCUUUUGAUAACAUGUGGUUCUUGUGAUUCAAACAUAUUGUCUUGUUAAACAUGUGGUUCUUGAUCUUUAACAUGCGGUUCUUGUUCUAUUCUUA